AUUGAACGCUGGCGGCAUGCUUUACACAUGCAAGUCGAACGGUAACAGGGUGCUUGCACCGCUGACGAGUGGCGAACGGGUGAGUAAUGCGUCGGAACGUGCCGAGUAGUGGGGGAUAACGCAGCGAAAGUUGUGCUAAUACCGCAUACGUACUGAGGUAGAAAGUGGGGGACCUUCGGGCCUCACGCUAUUCGAGCGACCGACGUCUGAUUAGCUAGUAGGUGAGGUAAAGGCUCACCUAGGCGACGAUCAGUAGCGGGUCUGAGAGGAUGAUCCGCCACACUGGGACUGAGACACGGCCCAGACUCCUACGGGAGGAAGCAGUGGGGAAUUUUGGACAAUGGGCUAAAGCCUGAUCCAGCCAUGCCGCGUGUCUGAAGAAGGCCUUCGGGUUGUAAAGGACUUUUGUCGGGGAGGAAAUCCCCAGCGUUAAUACCGCUGGGGGAUGACAGUACCUGAAGAAUAAGCACCGGCUAACUACGUGCCAGCCGCCGCAGUAACAC
rnacentral:rRNA from 1 species